rnacentral:tRNA from 1 species
GGUCCCGUAGCUCAGCAGGAUAGAGCAUCAGAUUCCUAAUCUGAGGGUCGCGCGUUCGAAUCGCGCCGGGAUCA